CUACGUGCCAGCAGCCGCGGUAAUACGUAGGGCGCGAGCGUUGUCCGGAAUUAUUGGGCGUAAAGAGCUUGUAGGCGGUUUGUCGCGUCUGCUGUGAAAGGCCGGGGCUUAACUCCGUGUAUUGCAGUGGGUACGGGCAGACUAGAGUGCAGUAGGGGAGACUGGAAUUCCUGGUGUAGCGGUGGAAUGCGCAGAUAUCAGGAGGAACACCGAUGGCGAGGGCAGGUCUCUGGGCUGUAACUGACGCUGAGAAGCGAAAGCAUGGGGAGCGAACAGGAUUAGAUACCCUGGUAGUCCAUGCCGUAAACGUUGGGCACUAGGUGUGGGGAACAUUCCACGUUUUCCGCGCCGUAGCUAACGCAUUAAGUGCCCCGCCUGGGGAGUACGGCCGCAAGGCUAAAACUCAAAGAAAUUGACGGGGGCCCGCACAAGCGGCGGAGCAUGCGGAUUAAUUCGAUGCAACGCGAAGAACCUUACCAAGGCUUGACAU
rnacentral:rRNA from 1 species